rnacentral:rRNA from 1 species
AACGUAGGGGGCGAGCGUUGUCCGGAAUUAUUGGGCGUAAAGAGCUCGUAGGCGGUGUGUCGCGUCGGCCGUGAAAACCUGCAGCUUAACUGUGGGCUUGCGGUCGAUACGGGCAUCACUGGAGUUCGGCAGGGGAGACUGGAAUUCCUGGUGUAGCGGUGAAAUGCGCAGAUAUCAGGAGGAACACCGGUGGCGAAGGCGGGUCUCUGGGCCGAUACUGACGCUGAGGAGCGAAAGCGUGGGGAGCGAACAGG